CCCGGCCGGGCCUUAAAUGCCGGGGACGCUCCGGCGCGGAGUGGCCGCGCGUUUACAAAUCAAAUCGAGAGCGGGAAAGG
rnacentral:ncRNA from 1 species